CUGGGAUUUAACCCAGGGGGCACUUAACCACUGAGCCACAUCCCCAGCCCUUUUUAAUAUUUUAUUUCAAAAUAGGGUCUUGGUGAGUUGCUUAGGGCUUCAGUGAGUUGCUGAGGCGGCUUUGAACUCGUGAUCUUCUGCCUCAGCCUCCUGAGCCUCUGAGAUUACAGGAAUGUGCCAGUGGAAUGAUCCUCUUUGGAAAACUUAUUUUGCCAUCAUCUCGGUCAGCAAAGUCCAUUCCAUAUGUUCCCAACAUUCAUUUUAAAAACAGGAACAUCACACUGUGGUCUUCCUUAUAAGCAUUUGUGUUAUGGAUGGGCACUACCUGUCAAAUCUCUCUGCCCUGACGGACAUGUUCUGUCUCCACUGUCCACCGUAGCUACUAGCCACAGGCCACUUGUGAGUGCUUUAGCUGUGACCCAUGUGAUGGAGGAGCCACAUUUCCAAUUGUGUUUAACUUAAAGAGUCACAUUGGCUGGAGACUGGAGUACUGAAUGGCGUAGUUAUAGAACAUGUAUGUGUCUCUAGGAUUUCCUCCUCCAAAGCCCAGUUCAGAUUUUUUUCCUUAGGUGAUCCGAGCACAUUCCUUCGCUGUCUUUGGCUCCUUGGGUUCUGCAAUUCCUCCAGCUCUCAGUCUCCUUCACACAAUGAGUGCGAGGGUGGGUUGGGAAAGGCUUACUGAAAUGUCAGCAACAGGGGUGAGAAAAUUUCAUUUCUCCACCAGGCAUUUUCUCUGUUGACCCAAUAGGUUUACUUACUUAUGAGCAGAGGAUAACAACAGCUGAACCCCAAAAUGAAAUGCCUGAGUCACAAGUGGAUCACAUUUCUAUUUCAAUCUAAUGCGUAUUUCAACUAAUGCAAGUUUUGAGAAUUAUGUAUACUUGAAGGUACUAUGUCAUCAACAUUUUAGGAGAAAGCCCCAGGAAAUUACAAUUACAUAACCAGAGCGGAAUUCGAAGAGUUCCGGCUUUGCACGAAGAAAGCAGCUUGGGCUGGGUUCAGGCUUCCAAGAGGCAGCCUCUCUCCAGGGUAGAAUAAUCUGGUUGUAAUUGGGUGAUGCUGGCAAAGACCUGGAUGAGGGAGAUAAUUAGCAAGGGCUGAUUUACACAAGAAAUCACAAUAAAAGGACAAGGAACUUCUAGGGCAGAAAAAAGAAACAUCAGAUUUAUUAACAAAAGUCAAAGCCAGUUUUGAAGUCCCCCCCAACCCCCCAAAGUGACUGGGAACACCAUGCAGAUGGUGCUGGACACCUGGAAUAGGUAAGAAUCUGAGAGCACAUCUGUGACAGGAAACUAAGACAGAGGAGGUCUAGCAGAUUCUGUAAGGCACAGUUCCCUGGUGUGGGGGAGAGUCUGUGGUUAAAAUAAUAGAAGGUAACUCUUCAUUUAUUCUUCUUUCUAGCUGUAUUAGUCUGCUUCAGCUGCUGUAACAAAAUAAUCAUAGCAAUUUAUUUUCUAACAAUUCUGGAGGCUGAGAAGCCCAAGGCCAAGGUGCCAGCCUAUUUGGUUCCUGAUGAAGACUCUUCCUUGUAGACGGACAACCUUUGUACCAUGUCCUCACAUUACAGAAAGAGAACUUGCAUCCCUUUUGCUUCUAGAGCCCAAGACCUGAGCACCUGCCUUGACUGGGCAAAACAAAGGGACCGAUGUGUCACCUUCAUCCCAAAGGAGUAGUUUGUGACAAAUCUGAUUUUCAGGAACAGAGUUGUCUAGCAAAGCAAUUGGAAGGACCUAGAUGCAGCAAGAGUGACCCUUUCCCCACCUCUUAAGCCUCAUUAUUUCUAUUUUGUGUCUUCUUAGCAUUAUAGGUUCUGUUGGUAUAACAUUCAUAAUGUUUCUCAGGACCCCCAUGGAGACCAAACCCUGCAGAUGAUCAAAUCCUUUAUAAAAAAUGGUGUAGUAUUUGCAUAUAACCUACACAAUCCUCCCACAUACUUAAAUCAUCCCUAGGUUACUCAUAAAACCUAAUGCAAUGUAAAUGCCAUGUAAAAUAGUUGUUUGACUGUAUUGUUUAGGGAGUAAUGACAGGGAAAACGUCCAUACAUAUUCAGUGCUGAUGCAAUUAUUUUUUCAAAUACUUUUGUUCUGUGGCCAGUUGAAUUCAUGGAAGCAGAAACCUUGGGUACAGCAGGAAGUCCACACCCCUCACUAAUUUUGGAGGUCCCACGGCUAGGCAAUACACAGUCUCCCACUAACUUUGCCACAGGUGACACCUCUGAUGUGGGGGCUAUGAUCAUGGUUGCCUAGGUGGCAUUUCAGGGAUCUGAGGCCACUUUUUCUGAAAACACUGACUUUUCACUUGGACCUGCAGAUGCGUGAUGGAUGACAGACACAGGACCAACAGGCUUGGCAUCUCUGCCUCCAUAUCCUAUCUGUCUCCUUCGCUUGAGUUCCUGGAAGAUCUCCAUUCUGGGCUCUCUUUCCCUGUCAUUCCCUUCCUGCAUCUGUGACCCUCAACCCCCCAGAGUUGAGGAGCUGAUUCAUGAGCAGAGCUCCCUCCUCUCCACUCUUCCCUCUCAGACUCUGGUUUUCCGUGAGUUGAGCUUCCGGGUUCCAUAACCGGAUGAACAGAACAAAGCCAAUGGUACUGCAAGGUGACCAGGGACCAAGGAGAGCUCUUAAGUACUCACUAGAUGGAUGUUUGCCUGAAUAGAGGGCAUGACAGGGGAGAACUAUCCCAUCAUGGGGGGUGGGAAAGGGAGGUUGAGGGAAGGAGCUGGUUUUCUCCAUGAGCCACACCUGGGGAAAAUGACAUAGAGGGCCGCUGAGCUUUCGAAGCUCCCUGAUCCUGAAGAGGGCCGAAAGUGUGGUUAGGAAAGUGGGGGAAAGAGAGAAAAAGCCAACCUUGAGCCCCCAGGACAACAGCCAGAAAGAGACCGAGGCUGACCAAGGGAGAGGCUUGGCCUUCAGAGUGGAGUUUUGAUGCCUCUAUAGUAUGGGUGUAGUGAAGGCAUCAUCUGAGAACCUUCCGGAAGCCAGUGGGCCUACCUGACAUCUCAUCUGCAGAAGGAAGUUCCAGCCCCAUAGAGUGGGCAAAACAGGCCCUUUCAGGGAAACAAAACAUGGUGUUUGAUUGUAUCUUGCUUGAUUUGAAUGUGCUCCCACAAAAGCAUGAGUUGGAAACUUAAUCCCCAGUGUGCCACUGUUGGGAGGUGGGUCCCGUUGGAAGGUGUGUAGGUGACAAGGCUCUACGCUCACCAUGGAUUGAUGAAACUGUAAGAGAGCUCAAGGCUGCCAGUUGCAAUUCCUGCUCUCUCUCUCUCUCUCCCUUUCCCCUUCUCUUGGUGCUUCUGGUAUGUGAUGCCUUCUACCAUGCUAUGAUGUGGCAAGAAGAUGCCAGAGACCAGUUCCUCCAUCUUGGACCUCUAGUCUCCAGAACAGUAAUAAAUAAAUUUAUCUUGUCUAUAAAUCACCUAGUCUCAGGUUCUCUGUUACAGUAGCACAAAACAGACUAAGACACAUCUGGCAAAUUCCUCUCAUUUGUUGUGCCUCCUGGUUAUAUGCACAAGUAACAAUGAUCUAAGCAGAAUAGCAUGUCUCUUAUCCUCUUCUCACACACCGUCAGACACCUGCUCUGUGCCAGGCACAGAGAAGGCUCUGGAGAAUACUACAGAUCAAUGCCAGGAGAGGCUCUGACACUUUGCUGAGAAAACAGUGCAGUGGCACCCUGUGAGGUAAAGUUACACAGCAUGUUUUGAGGAUUUGAUGAGGGAAGAAAUCACAUGGGCGUAGAGUGGAGAAGAGGGACAUUUCAUGGAAGAGACGUGCCCGGUGCUGGGCCACAGAGGAGCUCUGAGAUCUGGGUGGGCAGUAGUGUCUGGGGGGCUCUCCAGGCAGAAUAGGGAGAAUGAUCGCUUGGUUUGAGCCUAGAGUACAGAGAAGGCCAAAUGGGUGCAUUCCAUUGGUAUGAAAGAGAACAGAAUAGGCAAAUCUACAGAGAAAGUGCAUUCCCGGGUGCCUGGGGCUGGCAGAUGGGGAGUGACUGGAGAGAGAGCAGGGCUUUUAUGGGGGCGGAGGUGAGGCGAUGUUUUCUAAAAUUAGAUUGUGGUGAAGGUUGCACUAAAUAUACCAAAGCCGGUGAGCUGUAUGAUUUAAGUGGGUGCAUUGUAUGGUCUGUGAAUUAUGUCCCAAAUAAGCUGUCAAAAAAAGGGAGAAUCUAAUCACAGCCAAAUAAAUAUAGAAUGAUACGGUCUGUAGAAAACUCAGGAUCUGGCAACACUGAACAAUAUGUCGUUAGGCAGAGGUGGGAAAACCUCAAAGAAACCUCAAAGUGAAUGAUUAGGAAGACGUCAGGGAGCGUUAGCCCCGGGGAGCAAGGAGGGGGCAUCUAUGAAGUGUGGGAGCAGAGAAUGAAUGGCAAACAAACCUGACACGUUGGAUGGCUUCCUGUGUGGGGCGGUUUCACGGGUGCAGCUUUGCCACAACUCGUAGAGCUGUUAGGAACACUCUUUGAAGGUAUGACAGGUUUUUAAAUAAGUGAAAGAAAAGGUGGAGGGGGAAAGUCAAGGGAGAGAGAGGACAGAAAAGUGUGUGGACAGAGCGUGCAGGGUCCAGGGCUCCAGGUUGGAGACACUGGUACUGAAGGAAAGCCAAGGUGAAGGAAGGGAUCCAGGCUCUGUAUGCAGGAGUGCAGAGGGCAGGGAGCGGCCAGAGGUGGGAGGAGCCUCCGGAGUGACGUCAGCGUCUGGCACUUGCAGUGGGGCAGUGGGGGGUGCAGGUGCUGGGGUAAGAGGGUGAGAUUCCCCGCUCACGGUCAGCCCAGCCGAGCAAGUCUUGCAGAACCUGAGAGUCUGGGUUGGGAGACACGUGGACAGAGAUGGGGAGGUCCUCAAGAGGGGGCUGGAAGGAAGGGAAGGUCAGCAGUUUAGCCUGGUCGGGCAAGGGGUACGAGACGCGUCCUAAUCACAACAUGAGGGACCUCAGGAGAUGGCAGCCACAACUCCUGGUGCCUUGGAGGUUCCCAGGUCACUAUGGGGCCUUUCCAAAUUCUUUCUGAGCUUGGUUCCUUGAGCAACCUGUCUCUUCUUGGCUCUCUGGACUCCAUAUGUGGUCCCAUCUGCUGUCCUCCCUCCUACAACUUCCCAGGAUAAGCCAUGUUGCAUUUCUCGGGGGCUCAGCCCAGGGCCCUGGGGCCAGACCUGAGAGGAUGCCUUCUGUAUCCCAGUUCUGAAAAGUCUCCCUGAAUGUGUCCUUCUCAGGUGUUUAGGCUCCAGACUUCCCAUCUACCUGGGAACCUUGCCUGGCCCAACCUUUGAGAAGACAGAAGAAGGUUUCUGGGGGAAAGGGACUCCUAGAGGAGGCCAAGGAGGGUGAAUGGAUGUCAUCGUUUCCAGGGGGAGGAGCAGGUGUGCAGAAGCCCAGGUGGGAGACACCAUGAUUGGAGCAAGAAGCGAGUCCCAAGAAGUGGGCAAAGCCCAGGUUGUUCCAGUAGUUUGGACUUGAUCCUUUCCCCUAAGGGUAACUCAGGCACUUGAAGGUUUUGAAGCAGGUGGUGAUACAAUCAGUUUCUCCCUGCAUCUAAUGAGCAUUUACUAAAUGCCAGACGUCAUUCUGUCUUUUCUACACAUUAUCUCAUUUUAUCUUCUUGGUGAUUCUGUGGGGUAGAUAUCAUUAGCCCACCCACCCACCCACUCAUCCAUUCAUCCAUCUCUUUAAAACUGAGAUACAGCUUCAGGCCAAUCACUAUAUUCAUGCUUAUGGGACAAUGAGGGAAUGGAGGAGUCCUCACUCCCAGAGGGUCACACCAAUUCCUCAAGGGCUGUAACUGGAAAGGGGCAGGGUCGGGAUACAAACUCAGUAAAGCAGACUCUGGGGCCUCAGUUUCUCCGACAGGCCGGGUGUUGCCUAGCUGAGCCUUACUCUUGGGGUGAGACUGUAGGUCUCAGGAGUGUCCCAAAGGUAGCAAGAUGAGGGUGAGCUAGGGUUUUGAUGUGAGAAUGGAUCCUGGGUAAGAAAAGAGGGUUGGUGAGGUUACCACAGGUGAAAUGAAGAGGGUAAAAGGCACAUAUACGAAGGAUCUGGGCCGUCCUGGGCACCUGCCACUUCUCUGCUUACUUUCUUGCAAACAACUUAUUUUUUGAAAGGGAUAGGAAGAUGGGCAGCCACAUGUCCCACUCCUAGGGAUGAGCUGUGAUUGGUUUAAGCCAUUUAUGGCUGAGCUAAUACUAUUUUCCUGGUACUCACACUUCCUGGUCCUACCCUUUAUAGUUGGUGCAGGCCCGUGACCAGGUUUUGAUCAGUGAUACAAAAGGGAGGUCUUUUGAGGGUUUAUGAAAGAUAUUUGUGAUCCCCCCAAUGAAAGACAAGAACAGAAAGGGGAGGUCCUUCAUUAUCUAGCUGCCUUGCUGCAUCCUGACUUUGAAUGCAGUCAUGAUUCCUGGAGAUACGGCAGCCAACUUGUGACCAUGAAACUGCAAAGACAAAAGUCCCAACAAACGGAGGAUGAGCGUGAACAGAUGAGCUAAUAACAGCAAAGACUCCUGUCUGGACCUCUUAAAAUGUGGAAGAAAGGAAACCAGGAGUGUAGACUUUCCCACUAUCUCUAGCUGACCACAUGCUAGCUCCAUAAUAGACCCAGUGGGGAGGAGGCAGGAAGCAGAGGUGAAGCUCUGUGGAAUGCGGGGCUGUGGUGGGGACAUUGCUUUGUUUUCUGAUUGUUUCAUGGAGUAUGAACCUUGAGGACACAGUCACCUUUUCUUUUCUGCCCUUCCCUCCCAUGGUACUCUGUCAUCUCCUCCUUUUCUAUAGCCUACGCCAAGCCCACAUGUUCAAUGACCAUUUCUUUUCUUUUUUCUUUUUUCGUAAACAGAGAAACUUGCCCUUUGUUGAUUCUCAUUGUGCUCCCAUCAAACUAUCAAAGAUGUUGAAGGACAGAGACCUGAACUCUGCCACUGGGCUCAGGAGGACACCACAGACACUGACUUGGCUUAUCAUUUUGUUUAGCGCCUUGAAAGGAGGUUGGUGAUGUAGAAGGUUGGAUGAUCCUUUGAGGAGAAAAAGAGAUGGAAAGCAAGAAACGUCAGAAAACACUCAGACGGGGAGGGGAUCAGUUGCAAGAGUAAAGUGGCCACGACGUGGAAGAACAGGAGACAGGAGGAAGGAGAGCUUGGUGCCUGCCGUGCACCCACAGGUGGUCCUCAGCCAAGCCCCAGCCUCCCCCUCCUCUGCCUGCCUAGCCAGCCUCUCCUGGCUGUGAAGAUGUCCUGAGCUGUCCCUUGCCUCCUGAGCGAUGCAGACGCUGCUGGGUCCCCGAUCACCCCUGAUGCCUCCCUGGCUUCAUGUGAAUAGAAUCCUGUUUUUUAUUUUUUAUUAAAUUUUUUAAUAUUUAUUUUUCAGUUUUCGGUGGACACAUCUUUAUUUUAUGUGGUGCUGAGGAUCGAACCCAGCGCCCCACGCAUGCCAGGUGAGCGCGUUACUGCUUGAGCCACAUCCUCAGCCCCAGAAUCCCGUUUUUAAAUGCACUUCAGAGGAUGGUGCUGUCCUCAGGUUGAGGACGGACUUUAAGAGCCUCUAGACCCAGGUGGGGAAUCUUGGUUCCCCUCUGCUGUGGUUUGGAUGUCAUCUGAGCUGUUUCCCAUCGGUCACAGGCUGGAGGCUUGGUCCCCGGUGUACUGGCAAUGGGCCAUGGGACCUUUACGACACCAUUAGACCUGGAGGGCACCAUCCCUGCAGGGACUCACGUGGUUCUUGUGUUCUUGUGGGAGCAGGUUAGUUCCUGUGAGAGUCGCCCCACCCCCACCCCCUCCCCGGCGCUCUUGUUUCUUCUCUCCCCAUGUGAAUUCCUCUUCUUUUACUUCCUGCACAUCCAUGAUGCCAUCUGCCAUGUCAAGACACAGCCCCGGGAUCCUCUUCAGAGGCCACCAGAUGUGGCUGCCAAUCUUGGACUUUUAGCCUCCAACUGUGAGCUAAAAAACAAAACAAAAACCUUCUUUUCUUUAUAAGUCACCUGGCCUCAGAUAUUUUGUUGGUAUAGCAACAUGAAAUGAACUAAUCUCUCUAGGGGUCGGUUUAUGAAUGGGCAUGUGACACAGUUUUGGCCAAUGAGAUGAGAGGGGAAAUCUAAAAAGGGUCUAAUGGGAAAUUUUCCUUAGCUUUUGAAAGGCCAGGGGUGUGUUCCUUUUAUUUAUUUAUUUAUUUAUUUUAGAUUCUACUGUGCAUGUGUGAGGGCAAUGUCUGGAACUAUGGCAACCUGGUAGGGACCAUGAGAGGAGCCUACUCAAAAGGAGAAGCUAACACACUAAGGGUGGAUCCCAGCCAGGUCUGGUGGUGCACAACUGCAAUCUCAGCAACUGAGGAGGCUGAGGCAGGAGGAUCUCAAGUUUGAGGCCAGUGAGACUCUAUUUUAAAGUUAAAAAAAAUAAGAAGAGCUGGGGAUGUAGCUCAGUAGUAAUGUGCUCCCAGGUUCAAUCCACCCCCCCAUGCCAAAAAUUAUGGGUUCUUGGCUUUGGAGCUUGGCUUUCAUAUCAACCAACUCUGGAAGUAUUUCCCUUUUGAAUUUAUUAACUUAUUAACCAGAGAGAGGGAGAGGGAGGGUGUUUCAGUCAACCUUUUUGCUGCUGUGACUGAAACACCUAACAAGAACAACUUUAGAGGAAGAAAAGCUUAUCUAUGGGCUCAUGGUUUCAGAGAUCUAAGUCCACAGACAGCUGGCUCUAUUCCCUGGGGCUCGAGGUGAGGCUGAACAUCAUGGUAGAAAAGUAUGGAGAAGGGAGUAGUUCACAUGACGAUCAGAAAGCAGAAAGAGACUCCAUUCUCCAGAUACAAAAUGUAUGCCUCAGUGAUCCAUCUCCUCCAGCGACGCCUUACCCACCUUCCGUUACCACUUGGUUAAUCCCAUGAGGGAUCAGUUCACUGAUUAGGUCAAGGCUAUAAUCCAAUCAUUUCUUCUCUUGCAUUGUCUCACACAUGAGCUUUUCGGGGACACCUCACAUCCAAACCAUAACAGAGGGAGGGAGAGGGAGAGACAGAGAAAGAGAGAGAGAGAAGGAAAGAAAGAACAAGAGACUGGGCUAAGAGAUACACAAGGUGAGCCUGCAGCAUCUUGUGGUGCCAGAAACCAAAGAAGUGCUUAAAAAAAACCCACAAAAACAACAACAAGUAAAUCCCCACGAUGGUGUGGGUGCGUCAGAGGGAUACAGGAAUCUGUGGGAAGAGCACCUAAAAGCCAAAACUAGAAUAGUUUGAGCAGCAAAAUUAUUGAGGAGAUGGUAUUGGACAGGUGAGAUUCAAGAUGGCAGAUCAGAGGCAACCAGCCCUGAGAUAGAACCAAAGAAACAGGUGUUAGCUGUCUGUGAGGAGCACUGGGAUUAACAGGAGGAAGAAAGUGACCUGGAGAAACCCAGGGAUUUGGAGUCAUGGGGUAGUGGAAGGACUGACUGCAGGCCUCAUGGCUGGGGAGGGAGAAUCUCAUCUGGUGCAGUGUGGGUGAAGAGGGGGGGUCCCAGCGAGCCUCCCCAGCGUGGGAUUCAGUACCUGGUGGACAUGCCGUCUAAACAGCCCAGAGGCAUGGGAACUGCAAAGUGAACUGGCUCAGGGACCUUUCUCUGUCCAUUCUAGUACCUUCUCCCAGAACCGUGGCAGGCAGUGGUGUUGACUAGUGUCCUGUGGCCUGAGCCCUCUCCUCUGGGGGGUGAGGAACCCUUGCAUUUUCCUGUCUCAGACUCUGCAGAAGUUUCACUGCACUGGCUUAGUGGGUGGCCACCUGGUGAGUCUGUGACACCUUGGCAAUCCUGCUGGGGUUCUCUGUGAUGGGAAGCUGGACUGUGAAGGAGAAGGGAGCAGAAGGCACUUCCCUUUAAAAUCAGACGUCCAGGAAACCAGCUGUCCGAGCCUGCGGGAGUGAACAAUGGCAUGGGACUUCGCAGUGGGAGCCGAGUCUGGGAACACCAGGGCUGUGGGAGGAGAUUGCUCAGGACUCGAUGCCCCCCGCACCCACCCCCAUCUCCCAGCACAGAUCUCUGGGGCUCCAUCCCUCUCUUCACUCCUGGGAGUGACCUAGGCCCCACAGAGCUAGCACUUGCCCUGUACUUGGAAUGCACAGCCCACAAAGAUAGGGAGGAAAUCUUUGCUCGGCAUUCUGCACCUUGUUCUAAGGCACAAUCAACAGGAAUCCCAGCUAGCUUCAGCCACAGAUCACUCUAGCUCGUCACUUGGUGAGCACCACAUUGUAAAGAAUCAGGGUGAAUAGCCCCUAGCCUCUGCUCUCUGUGGGGUGCACAGCCUGAGAAAUCGGGAGAGAGGUUUUAAUUGCUCUGGGCUGUGAUCAUCCACUCUCCUUUCCAUCAUUUGGGUGUCCUGAUAGGGAGAACAUUUUUAUUUUUUUUUAUUUAUACAGUUUUAUUGUUGUUGCUUUCUAUUUUUUUCCUCUUUUUAGUCUUUCAUUUUCUUUUCUUUGUUCCCCCUCCCCUCAUUUGGCUUCUUUCCCUCCUCCUCCUCCUCCUCCUCCUCCUCCUCCUUUUCUUCUUCUUUUUGAUGGGGGGCGUACUGGGGAUUGAACUCAGGGGCACUUGACCACUGAGCACAUCCCCAGCCCUAUUUUGUAUUUUAUUUAGAGACAGGGUCUCACUGAGUUGCUUAGGGCCCUGUUUUUGCUGAGCUGUGUUGAACUCUCGAUCCUCCUGACUCAGCCUCCACAGCUGAUGGGAUUACAGGCAUGCUGGCUUUUUUGUUUUCAUUUUAAAUUUUUAAGUCUUUUUAUAUUGUUCUUUCUUCUCCCUUUCUCUCUCCUCUCUCUCCCUCCACGAUGCUGGGGAUUGAGCCUGACCGCGUGCACUUUGGGCAGGUGCUCGGCACUGAUCUACAUUCCCAGCCCAGCCAAGAGGACCUGCGCCUGGCUUCAGUCCCUCUGGAACCUCUGUGGAUACCUCAACUUAAAAAAUAGGGGAAACAAAAGCCACCAGUCAAAGACCUAUUCCCAGAUGGAAACCGCCAGGGAGCUCGGUCACCCACUCCUGGACAGUCAUUCUCCCAGUGACAGCAAAGAGCAAUGACACAGGUGCUGUGAAAACUGCCUGGGCCACGCCCACACACUGUCAGAUCACCUGUCAAUGACAAGAUGAGGCGUGAGCACUACACAGGGGGAGUGGUGAUCCCGGCCCCCACCUCACCACCCGAAGCACCAGGAACGGUGUCAGUGUCAAAACAGACAACAGCACUUCUGGCCCCUUACCACCAGCCGGACAGUCAGUGUCAGAAUUGUUUUCAAGUAACGGCCAAUACCAACAGGGCCUGUGGAAAGUCCCCAUCCCUGGACAGGGGCUUCCACUCCCAUUGUGGACAGCACCCCACAUACUCUACUGUCCACAGCACAUCUCCUUCCAUUACUGAAAUGACUCCACCCUUAGAAAACCACAGAGAAGGUGGGUCACUCAGGUUCUGAGAUGGUUUACAUUAUGUCAAACUCACAAAUCUCAGCCACAGGGGGAUUCCUCUAUGAAGUCCGAUUGGAACUGAACUCAGUACUACACCACAAACUGGCACCUCAAGACCUGUCAUCAGGAGAAGUUUGCUUGUGUGAGGCCUCACACAAAAGUUGAAGAGAUAGCCGUCUCAGCAGGUGCUCCAAUCUCAACACAGAGGCACAAGGAACAUGAAAAAACAAUGCAGUUUGACACCUUCCAAAAGUUCACCCAAAGAUAUGGAACAGGAUGAAAUGCUGAAUAAAUAGCUCAUGAAGGGUGGUUUUUAAAAAAAAAGCUCGAUGAAUUCCAAGAGAAUACAUAUAAACAUGUAUUAAGAAAGACAAUUCAAGAUAUGAAUGAGAAAUCCAGUAAGUCCAAUAAGAGAUAGACAAUUUGAAAAAGAAUCAGACAAAUGUCUCGGAAAUGAAAAGUUCAGUAAGACAGAUUUAAAAACUCAGUUGAAAUUCUCACCAUCAGACUAGCUCAAGUAGAAGAAAAAUAUCAUAGUUUGAAGACAACUCUGAUGAAAUAUUACAUUUAGCCAGAAAAAAAAGGAUGAACAGAGUAUAUGAGAUUUUGGACAUCAUUAAAAGAUGAAGCAUACAUAUUAUUGAGAUGCCUGGGGAGACCUCUAGGCUGAAGGCAUAGAAAACCUAUUCAAUGAAAUAAUAGCAGAAAAUUUCCUGAAUCUUGGGAAAGUCAUGGACAUUUAAGUACAGGAAGUGUUAAGAAUUCUAAAUAGACAUGAAUAGAAAAGAAACUCUCUAUGACAUAUUAUAGUUAAAUUGCCAAUAUUAAAGUACAAAGAAAGAAUAUUAAAAACCGCAAUACAGAAAUGCAAAGUCACCUUUAAGACAAAUCCAUUAGACUAAAAACAUAUUUCUAAGCAGAAAUCGUAAAGGCCAGGAGGAUGUGGAACAAUGUAGUUCAAGUCUUGAAAGAAAAUAACUGCCAAACAAGAUUGCUAUACCCAUAACUUUCAGAAUCAAAUAAGAAAUAAAGACCUUCAAGGUAAGCAUAAACUAAGGGAAUUCAUGACUACAACAGCAUCAAGAAGACAUUUAAGGGACUGUUACCCCAGAAGACAAAGAAAGAUAAAUACAAGAGAGGCACAUGAAAGAAUAAAUCUUACUGGAAGAGAAGACAUACAAAUAAAUAGGAAAAAAUUAAACAUUAUCAAUACAGUAAACCAUCAAACUUCUAUGCUGAGUAAGAGAGUAAGAAAUGAACAUAGAAUAUUCAAAACAACCAGAAGAAAAUCAACAAAAUGACAGGAACAAAUAAAAAUAACAACUCACAUUAACAGAAUCCAUAUUAACAGAAUAGAUAAAAAAGAAAUUUUAAAAAGGAGACCAUAUAAUCAUGUCAAUAGAUACAGAACAAGCAUAUUGCAAAAUUCAACUUCCAAAUUUCUAACAGAAACUCUCAGCAGCCCAGAAAUAGAAGAAAAUUCUACCAACCUGAUGAAGGGCAUCUAUGGAACCCAUAACUGACAUCUUAUAUAUUGAGGAACGUAGAACGCUUGACUCUGAAUAUCUGGUACACAAUAAGGGUUCAUGCCAUUCUAUCAAACAUUAUACUGGAGUUUCUAGCCAGAAAAAUAAUGCAGGAAAGAAAGAAAUCUCAUCUACAUUAUUCAGUAAGAAGUAAAUCUGACUUUAUUUGCAGAUGACAUGUCAUCUGAAUAAAAUUCUAUGGAAUCUAUAGGAAAGAUUCUGAAACCAAUGAAUGAGGUUAACAUGGUUGCAGGAUAUAAGAUUAAUAUACAAAAGCUAGUCCCCUUCUUCCUCCGGGAGAAGU
rnacentral:lncRNA from 1 species